AAACUAAUUUAAUUUGGCGGCAUUUCAUCUAUUUAGAGGAAUUUGUCCUUUAAUCGAUAAUCCACGUUAAAUUUUACUUUAAUUUAAAACUUAUAUACCGCCAUUUCAAGAAUUAAUCUAGAAACAUUACUCUUAAUAAUUAAUAAAAAAUUAGGUCAAGGUGUAAUCAAUAUUAAAGAAUGAGAUGAAUUACAUUAAACAUAAUUUAAAGAUUAUUAAUAAUUAUAUAAAUAUAAAUAAGGAUUUAAAAGUAAUAUUAUAUAAUAAUAAUAAUAUAUGAUAAAGAUAAUAAAUGUGUACACAUCGCCC
rnacentral:rRNA from 1 species